UAGGGAAUAUUGGACAAUGGGCGAAAGCCUGAUCCAGCCAUGCCGCGUGAGUGAUGAAGGCCUUCGGGUCGUAAAACUCUUUUCUGAGGGAAGAACCGCCCGGGUAGGAAAUGCCCCGGGUCUGACGGUACCUCAGGAAUAAGCAACGGCUAACUCCGUGCCAGCAGCCGCGGUAAUACGGAGGUUGCAAGCGUUGUUCGGAAUGACUGGGCGUAAAGGGAGCGCAGGCGGUGCGGUAAGUCUACAGUGGAAGCCCGGGGCUUAACCGCGGAAGUGCUUUGGAGACUGCCGUACUCGAGUUCGGGAGAGGAGAGCGGAAUUCCAGGUGUAGCGGUGAAAUGCGUAGAUAUCUGGAGGAACACCGGUGGCGAAAGCGGCUCUCUGGCACGAUACUGACGCUGAGGCUCGAAAGCGUGGGGAGCGAACA
rnacentral:rRNA from 1 species